CCUACGGGAGGCAGCAGUCGGGAAUAUUGCACAAUGGAGGAAACUCUGAUGCAGUGACGCCGCGUGCAGGAAGAAGGUUUUCGGAUUGUAAACUGCUUUAGACAGGGAAGAAGAAAGACAGUACCUGUAGAAUAAGCUCCGGCUAACUACGUGCCAGCAGCCGCGGUAAUACGAAGGGAGCGAGCGUUAUCCGGAUUUAUUGGGUGUAAAGGGUGCGUAGACGGGAAAGUAAGUUGGUUUUGAAAGCCCUCGGCUGAACUGAGGAAUUGGAACCAAAACUAUUUUUCUUGAGUGCAGGAGAGGAAAGUGGAAUUCCUAGUGUAGCGGUGAAAUGCGUAGAGAUUAGGAGGAACACCAGUGGCGAAGGCGACUUUCUGGACGGUAACUGACGUUGAGGCACGAAAGUGUGGGGAGCAAACAGGAUUAGAUACCCCAGUAGUC
rnacentral:rRNA from 1 species